AAGCUCUGUGGUGAAUUUCAUAUUGAAUUGCAAAUUCAAAGAAGCAGCUUCAAUUCUGCCGGGGCUUC
rnacentral:tRNA from 1 species